rnacentral:lncRNA from 1 species
AGGGAACGGGGUGUGUAGGUCCUCCCACCCCUUUUCUGAAUGCGCCCUGAAAAAAAUUUCUUUUUUUCAGACUUGAGGAUUAUGGUUCCACAAAUCAGUGUGAGGAGGGGGCUUGUCUGUGUGCUGUCUGGAGAGGUAGAGAAGUCAAGUUACAAGGUCUUAAAGGAGCAGGGAGAGGCAUGGCAGCAGCAGAUCUACACUGUGAUGUCGCUCAGUGUCAUGGAGGAUAUGCUCCUCAGAGUCUAGUGAAUCUUCAGUCUACUAAGAAGUCCCUGAAGCAAGCCUGAAGAGGUGUGUGUCAUCCAACUUGUCCUUCAAGAAGCACCAAUUAGAAGACCUUGGGUGACAUUCCUCUGUUGAGACACAUGAGGGCGCUCAAGGCAACUGACACUGUGGAGCUGUUUCUUAAAUGAGAGAGAGUGGGAUAGAGAGAGAAGGAGGGAGGGAGGGAGGGAAGGAGGGCGGGAGGGAAGGAGAGAGAGAGGAGAGAGAGAGACAGAGAGAGACAGAGAGAGAGAGAGAGGGAGAGAGAGAGAGAGAGAGAGAGAGAGAGAGAGAGAGAGAGAGAGAGAGAAAGAGAGAGAGAAGAAAGAAAAAGAAAAUAAAAGGCUAUGAGCCUUGGCUCUGUUUGAUUGGCUAUUGUUUCAGGCCCUGUGAAUGCUUCCUGGGGAGGGAGGUGUGUUUAUCUCUUGAGGACCAUCUGUGGUCCUGAGACCUAAGACCCACAGUGAACUUAUAGUCUAUGUGCUUGUAAGUUUCACAACAUAUACCAUUCCAGUGCUGUCUCCCAGGCAGAGAAAGAAGUCUUAGGCAAGUCUAAGUGUUUUUCUCCAUCCCUAUGUUCACACUGUGUAGGUCAGUUGAAGGGGAUGUAUUAGAUAUCACAUGAAGAUGCUUAAAUUCUUUUAUUUACUAAGGAGUUUCUAAGAUCAAGAUGAGAGUGAGCACUGGUCUCCCAUUUCGAAGGUAAAACAGGGCCUGUUUCUCACUCAUUUCUCUGCUUGGCAUUUUUUCUUCUAGCCAUUUCUAUUGGAGGCUUGUCGUGGUAUUUCUGUCAUCUUUUAGUACCUUAGAUGUUUUCCACGGGUGGUGGUGGUGGUGGUGUAGGAAGCAGCCAGGGGGCACAGUCGUGUGCCCUCCAGUGACUUUAAAAUAAAGGGGUUUGUAUUUUGCUGAGUGCAGGAGUCCAUUUAGAACACCCCAGGAAUGGGGCUGUCUCACAUACUGUUCAUGUUUGAAAAGAAGUGGAGUUGUGGGGAAAGUCACAAAUGCUCAGCCCAGAGCACAAAGCAGCAUAUGCCUAGAGCGAAGCUGUGGAUCACACAGGGCAGGGCUCGCUGAGGAUGUCAAGAGGCUGUGAAAUAGAAAUGAAAGAAAUGUCCUCUCCCUCAACCUGGGUUGAAAUGUCAUUCUGACAUCCCUAGCCUCAAGCCAGCUUGCCAUUUGCAAAAUGCUGUCCAGAUACAAAGGAGUGUCUUGCAGCCAUUUCUGAGUGCUAGACACGUCUAUUAUUGCUAGUUUAUUGGCCAAGAAAGGAGGUGUGUGUGUGUGUGUGUGUGUGUGUGUGUGUGUGUGUGUGUAUGUGUGUAUUUAGAGGGUGAGGUGGGGAGGUCUGUUAGACUUGUAAGCAGAAGAGCCAGGUGAAGAGAGCAAAGGUUGAUGUUCACAAAUCCUGCUAAGAGGUGGUUUAGAUCAAGCCGCGUUUAAUACGUUCGGUGAGAGUUCGAUUAAGAUACAGCCAUGGCUGGAUCAAGAUGAGCCUUAAGGGUGGAUUGGUAUCUCUUGAUUGCUCUACCAAUUACUCUAUUAGAGUAACAGAGUUCAGAUUGCCCAGGGAGAUCUCACACAGUAGGGAUUUUAUCAUGGUAGCAAUAAGUGCUCACCAAAUGCCAAUUGAUUUGCUACCACGGAAAACAUUUCCUGUCAGCCAUUUGGAAAAUGAACUCUUGCGGCCCCUGUAAAAUGAACCGAAGUGACAUUUAGUGGGACAAAUGGAAAUCCA